rnacentral:lncRNA from 1 species
UGGUGGAAGGCCUAAGAAGCGUCCAAAUGUUAGUGCACCCACUAAAUCUAUUACAAGAGGAGGUUUUUCUGGUGCUCAAGGUGGGAGAUUGAAUAACCCUCGAUCAAAUCCAACUCUUAGCCGAGGUUCAAAUGUACAGGUGAAGCCUACAUGUCAAACUUGCGGAAGGCAACAUUUUGGGCAAUGUAGAGCUCAAACGGGAGGAUGUUAUUUGUGUGGGGAACAAGGCCAUUUCAUUAGAGACUGUCCCAACAAAAGGGAAAAUGUACAGGCUGUAUCUGAACCAAGUGUUCAGAAUGUAGAAGUGAAAGGAGUUGGUACAUCUUUUGGAAGAGGUAGAGGCAAGAAGGGUACAGGUAGCACUGGGGGAGGCAUUGGAAGAUCACAGGCUCAAAGUUCAAAUCCACCAACCCAGGCACGAGUUUUUGCAUUAACGAGAGGAGAGGCAGAAGUUGCACCUGAGGUUAUAACGGGUAAAGUUCUCUUAUAUCAAUUAGAUGCGUAUGCUCUUAUCGACCCUGGUUCAACACAUUCAUUCAUACCAUCUAAAAUGACAUCUCACUUACAUAGAAGUCAUGAAAUACUAGAUCUCAAAGUAAAUGUUCAUACACCACUAGGAGAAGUGGAAGUAGUAGUUCAAAUAUAUAGAGACUGUCCUAUCGAAAUAGGAAAUACGGAAUUAAAAGCAGACUUGAUAGUAUUGCCUUUUCAAGAGUUUGAUAUCAUACUAGGCAUGGAUUGGUUGACAAGACAUCAUGCUAAAGUUGAUUGUUACGCUAAAGAAGUUACGAUCGAGUCACCAGGACAAGGGAGAGUCGUAUUUCAAGGAGAAUGUAGGAUGAUAUUUAGUUGUUUAAUUUCGGCUAUGAGUGCUUUUAAGAUGAUUAGAAAGGGCUGUGAAGCGUAUUUAGCACACGUGGUAGACCCGAACACUAACUCAACUAAACUUGAGACUAUUCCAAUAGUUCGAGAAUUCCCAGAUGUGUUUCCAGAUGAUUUGCCAGGAAUGCCGCCGGAUAGAGACAUAGAGUUUAGUAUUGAGACAGUUCCUGGUAGUACCCCUAUUUCUAUUCCUCCUUACCGAAUGGCACCCGUAGAGUUAAAAGAGUUAAAGAAGCAGUUGAUAGAAUUAUUGGAAAAAGGUUUUAUCCGCCCAAGUGUUUCACCAUGGGGAGCGCCAGUAUUAUUUGUCAAAAAGAAGGAUGGAACUAUGAGGCUAUGUAUCGAUUAUCGAAAAUUAAAUCAAGUCACGGUUAAGAACAAAUAUCCAUUACCAAGAAUAGAUGACUUAUUUGAUCAAUUACAAGGGGCUCAAGUGUUUUCAAAGAUUGAUUUGAGAUCAGGAUAUCAUCAAUUGAAGAUUGCCAAGGAAGAUAUCCCAAAAACUGCUUUCCGAACUAGAUAUGGUCACUUUGAAUUUCUAGUUAUGCCGUUUGGGUUAACAAAUGCUCCAGCUGUGUUUAUGGCACUUAUGAACAAGGUGUUUCAACCUUUUCUGGAUAAAUUUGUUAUAGUAUUCAUCGAUGACAUAUUGGUAUAUUCAAAGAGUAAAUCUGAGCAUGAAGAGCAUUUAAGAACAGCUUUACAAAUCUUAAGAGAAAACCAAUUAUAUGCUAAGCUGAGUAAAUGUGAGUUUUGGUUGGACCAUGUCGUAUUCCUAGGACAUGUUAUUUCUAGUAAAGGAAUUGAAGUGGACCCAAAGAAAAUAGAGGCUAAAUGGAAUUGGGAAGUACCCAAGAAUGUUACAGAAGUGAGGAGUUUCUUAGGAAUGGCUGGUUAUUACAGACGUUUUGUUGAAGGAUUUUCUAAGAUUGCCGGACCAAUGACCAAAUUACUCAGAAAGAAUGUUCCUUUUCAAUGGACUGAAGAAGCUCAACAAAGUUUUGAUGAAUUAAAGCGAAGAUUGACAUCCGCUCCAGUGUUGACUACACCAUCAGGACAAGGUGGUUUUGUAGUAUAUAGUGAUGCGUCACAACAAGGCUUAGGGUGUGUCCUUAUGCAACAUGAAAAAGUUAUAGUUUAUGCUUCAAGACAGCUCAGACCGCAUGAAAAGUCAUAUCAUGUACAUGAUCUAGAAUUGGCAGCAAUUGUUUUUGCAUUGAAAAUUUGGAGGCAUUACUUAUACGGGGAGACAUUUCAGAUUUUUACAGACCAUAAGAGUCUAAAGUAUUUAAUGAGUCAGAAAGAGUUGAAUAUGAGACAGAGAAGAUGGGUGGAACUUUUAAAGGAUUAUGAUUGUACGUUAGAAUAUCACCCAGGAAAGGCCAAUAUAGUGGCAGACGCUUUAAGUCGGAAAUGUAGUAGCGUAGCAAAUCUUCAAGGAUCGACGUUCCCAUCUUUAGUUGAAUUAAGAAAGAUGAAUAUUGGGUUAGAGGUUGACACCUGUGGAGUUUUAUUGGCUACACUAAAUAUCCGACCGGUGUUGAAGGAAAGGAUCCAGAAGGCACAAAUAAAUGAUCCUAAAUUAAGAGACGCAGUCGAGAGAGUAAGACAAGGUCAAGAAACUCAGUUCACGUUAUAUGAGGAUACUUUAAUGUUAGGAAACAGAAUUUGUGUUCCAAAUGACGAAGACUUAAGACGAGAAAUUCUAGAUGAAGCUCAUAAUGCUCCAUAUGCCAUGCAUCCCGGAGCAACAAAAAUGUAUAAUACGAUGAAAUCUCAUUAUUGGUGGUCUGGAAUGAAAAGAGAUGUGGCAGAGUUUACAGCCAAAUGUUUAACGUGUCAACAAGUGAAAGUGGAACAUCAAGCUCCAGCUGGGAAGUUACAUCCGUUGUCGAUUCCUGAGUGGAAGUGGGAAAAGAUCACUAUGGAUUUUGUAACAAAUUUACCCAAGACAAGGAAGGGAAAUGAUGCAAUAUGGAUCAUUGUUGAUCGACUUACCAAAUCAGCUCAUUUUCUACCAAUACGUUGGGGUUGCACACUAGAUCAUUUAGCUCAAAGGUAUGUGAAUGAGAUUGUACGAUUACAUGGAGUACCAAUAUCCAUUGUUUCAGAUAGAGAUCCAAGAUUUACUUCUAGAUUUUGGAAAAGUUUACAAGAAGCAAUGGGUACAAGAUUGAAUUUUAGUACAGCCUUUCAUCCUCAGACUGAUGGGCAAUCUGAAAGAACCAUUCAAACGUUAGAGGAAAUGUUAAGAGCGUGUGUGAUUGAGUUUAAAGGUUCAUGGGAUGAAUAUAUUGCUUUGAUGGAAUUCGCCUACAACAAUCAUUUCCAUAGCAGUAUUGGAAUGGCACCUUAUGAAGCCUUGUAUGGACGGAAGUGCAGAAGUCCCUUGUACUGGGAUAAAGAAGGUACUAUCAUUUUAGAAGGGCCAGAACUUGUCCAGAAUGCAGUAGAUAAGGUAAACAUUGUAAAAGCAAAGCUGAAGGCUACCCAAGAUCGACAGAAAAGUUAUGUGGACCAAAAUAGAAGAGAGAUGGAAUAUCAAGUAGGUGAUAAAGUAUUUCUGAAAGUAUCGCCAUGGAAAGGGGUGAUGAGAUUCAGCAAUAAAGGGAAGUUGAGUCCUAGGUAUAUUGGACCAUAUGAAAUAAUUGAGAAGAUAGGACCACUUGCCUAUAGAUUAGCAUUGCCCCCAGAACUUUCUCAAAUCCAUGAUGUAUUUCAUGUAAGCAUGUUACGAAGAUAUAGGUCAGAUCCUACACACGUUUUGAAGGACCCCGGGAUAGAAAUCAAUGACAAUUUGAGUUACAUUGAAGAACCUGUCAAGAUAAUAGGGCACAAGACCAAACAACUGAGGAAUAGAGAAAUACCGCUAGUCAAAGUACUAUGGAGAAACCACGCAGUGGAAGAAGCCACAUGGGAGACAGAGGAGCAUAUGAGAAGCAAGUACCCUCACCUAUUCGACAAUCCAGGUACAUUUUUGAAUUUUGAGGACAAAAUUCUUUAAAGGGGGGAAGAGUUGUCACACCCUGGUCCCAAACAAAUGCUUAUAUAAUACUUUUGAAUGUAUUAAAAUAGUUUUCGGGAUUUUUAGAUUUAACAAAAAUAUUUUGUUUUAGGAUUUAUAAGGAAUUUGCGAAUAGUAAGGUGACCCUAUAAAGGAGAAAGGACAUGAAGGGGUAAAAAUAAAAGUCUCAGAAUAAUUUUUAGAUAUUUUAUAAAUUACCAGAGCGGAGAAAUAGUGAACAGAAGUACGGUCAGAAUUGUAUGAUUUUGCACCGAACUGUGAUUAUAAAAUCCAGUUAUUAGAAAAUAGGUGAAAAUAGAAAAGACACAAAAUGAGCCAAGAAUUUUCCUAGAGUAUCUAAAUAAAUUGUGGAACUCAUUUAUGAAUUUUCGGAAAUUUUACGAAGCUCAAGGAAGUUAAAAUGAAAAGGAAUAAAGGAGCCGGAUACCCAAGAUUUCCGGACUGCAAAAUGACCUUUAAACUAAACCAGCGGAAUUUCGGAAGGAAUACUGAAGAGAAGGUUAGUACGUUUAUGAUCUUUGGAGUCUCUAGAACAUUCCUAUAUUGAGUUUGAAGAAAAAUCUCGAGAUUAAGAGUGAACAGGGAUCAGUGGAAAAAUAUCAGACCGAUACAUCCCUAAGAAAAAGUGAAAUAUUUUCGGACUCCAAAUGAGCUCAUUUUACAGUCAAAAAUUCCCAAAUAAUAUAUUAGGAAUUAUUAUAUCGUUGGAAUUCGUCAACGAGAUCAAGAAUAGUGAGAUUUAAUUUAAGAUUUCAAGAAAAUGAUUAGAUUAAAAUGAAUAAGCCUUAAAUGAAUCCAUGAAGUCUCUGGACAUACCGUUGGCAAAUUAAAUGUUGCCACGUGUCAAGCAAGCAUUUCACCGCCUGAAUAACUAGAUAAACAUUCAGUUAACAUAAUGAAAAUUGUAGAGUUCAUCCAUUUUAAUGAAGAAAUUCGAAGUGGAAGAACUAUAAAACAGGGAGGAGAAGAAAAUUCAUAGAAAAAGAUUCCUAGCUCGGAUUUUGACGUUCUAUAGCUUGUUUCGAAGAGCUUGACAAGGGCUGCGAUUUGAGUGGUAAGGUUCUUGAUUUCCUCUGCAAUAACAUGUUCAUAAAUGGCUUCGAUUAUAGCUUGUUUAUACUUACAUAAUUCUAUAAGUAUUAAGUUAGCUACAUGAUGGGUUUGUUGUGGAAGCUUGUAAGAUGAAAGUUCUUGACUUGUGUAUGGAACAACAAGGCUGGGUAUAUAGAGUAUGAUGAUAUUAAGUUGAUAUAAUUGCUUGGGUAAGCCUAUAACAUGAGUUUAACCACGGAAACGUUAAGAUUAUAGCCGUUAUGCUGGCCGAUUUACAAGAGACAGCUACUGUUACUGUUCACCUGUGAGUCUUCACUUCGAAUUUAUGAAGUUACUUUAUAUGGUUGGAUAGAUCUUGAUUAGUAGAUCGCGUGAGCGCUUGAAUCAUGCAAAACGGAUUUACGGUUUAGAAAUUAUGGCCAUUUUAGUACAGGACGCGCAGAAUCUUAGUUUCCGUAAGAAAAUGAACUUUGAGGUUACAAUUCGGUUAGUUCAAAGAUGAUAUAAAUCAUGGAAUAAUUUGAGUAAAUACUAGGGACAAAUUGGGAGGUAUAUGAGUUGGUUUCGUGAUAAAAACUCGAAUGGUUUAUAAGUGAAAAAUGUCGGAACCUAAAGAUGUAAAUAGUAACAAUACGUGAGACGAGAAACAGUUAGUACCAGAUCUCUUUAAAAUGAAAGGAUUAACAAUAAGAGUAAUUAGAAGGGACUUUAAGGGUAGGUAACACAUACACAAACUAUGAUAUAGAGUUAUAAAGGAUCUUAAUGAUUAAUUAUGUCCUUUAUAGGUGCACAGAAAGGUGCAGAAGGACCUUAAGGACAGGAAGUUGUGAUUGAGUUGCUGAAGUAAGGUGAGUAUACAUCAACACUACUUAUAUCUAUGUGAUAUGUGAAUUACGUGCUUUUAUAUGCUGAAAGUGAUAUAUUAGAAUAUUGAUUUGACUAUGUGAUUCUAUACAUGACUGAAGUUCUUUGAUGUCAACGUAGUGUGAUGAUAUAUCAAAGUACAUGUAUAUAUGGAAUGUGUAUUGACCUGUGAUUUCACGAACGAUACAUUAACAUAGAGUCUGCAUAUAGAACAGGUCAUAUGCACACCCUACAUUCAUUUGAUAGUGAUAAAUUAAAAAGUCAAAGUGACAGUCACUUGUGUAAUGGCCACCUUUAUAUAUGGAACCUACGGGUAAUUACGGAGCAGACUAUAUGUCAGCCAUAGACGGGGCCGACUUGUGUCGGACAUAGACGGAGCCGAUUUCCAUAGUCGGACAUAGACGGAGCUGGCCAGACACACAUGGAUCCUUUGAGGACAUGUGGAAACACGGGCAUUAUACAGUGAACUGUGCACAAUAGCCAAAGAAAGAGAAACAGAGAUGCAUGCAUGCAUAGAUACAAGUUCUUACUUUCAUGGCAUAUAUGAUUAACAUAUGUCAGUGCUUUAUGAAUAAGUAAAACAUAUAUGUGAUGAUGUUAUACCUUGGUGUAAUUUGGAUGAUGAUAAUAUUAUGAAUGAAAGAUAUUAAUUGCUCUCAUAAAUACGAACAGGAAAUAUAUAUUAAAAUGAAUAUUUUCUUACAAUUGUUUCGAGAACCUUACUUUCUUUUAUUUUCUGGAAGAUUUUACAAAGACGCUACAAGUUAUUUUCGGACAAUCUCAGUAUCUUUUACAAACUAAAGUUGAUGUAUAUUCAUUGAGUUGCGACUCAUGGAAAUCGCUCAAUUUUUCCAGGAUAUGAAUAGUUAGUAGUGUGUUUUAUAUGAGUGCUCAGUGGAGAUUGUAGAUAGUGCCUAAGAGACGGUGGUCCAGCAGGAUGCUCCAGACUCCUCCAUCAGCCGAUGCACAUAUAUGUAGUUUGAGAGAUUGUGUUUAUGUACUCUAGACUUAUCAAGUGUGCAAGAAAUCACGAAGAUAAAUUUAUGUUUAAAUUCUGAAUAUGUGUGGUGAAUAUGGAUGAUGGAAAUGUAUUGAAAUUUUAUGUUGCUUGGUAAAUGUUGUUGAAGUAGUUGAGAUUUUAUGUUCUGGUGAAGAUCAAGAUAUAGCCAAGCAAUAGUUGAUGGUUAUAUUAUCCACUUAUACAGGAAAAGAUAUUUCAUAAUAUUAUUAAAUUACAUGAUUUUGCUAGAAGUGCAUGAAAAUGAUUAUAUGGUACAAUGGUGUUACAUAAAAUGCCAAAGGGG